rnacentral:rRNA from 2 species
AGAGUUUGAUCCUGGCUCAGAUUGAACGCUGGCGGCAGGCCUAACACAUGCAAGUCGAACGGUAACAGGAAGCAGCUUGCUGCUUCGCUGACGAGUGGCGGACGGGUGAGUAAUGUCUGGGAAACUGCCUGAUGGAGGGGGAUAACUACUGGAAACGGUAGCUAAUACCGCAUAACGUCGCAAGACCAAAGAGGGGGACCUUAGGGCCUCUUGCCAUCGGAUGUGCCCAGAUGGGAUUAGCUAGUAGGUGGGGUAACGGCUCACCUAGGCGACGAUCCCUAGCUGGUCUGAGAGGAUGACCAGCCACACUGGAACUGAGACACGGUCCAGACUCCUACGGGAGGCAGCAGUGGGGAAUAUUGCACAAUGGGCGAAAGCCUGAUCCAGCAAUGCCGCGUGAGUGAUGAAGGCCUUAGGGUUGUAAAGCUCUUUUACCCGGGAUGAUAAUGACAGUACCGGGAGAAUAAGCUCCGGCUAACUCCGUGCCAGCAGCCGCGGUAAU